rnacentral:rRNA from 1 species
GAUGAACGCUGGCGGCGUGCCUAAUACAUGCAAGCCGAGCGAAUGGAUUAAGAGCUUGCUCUUAUGAAGUUAGCGGCGGACGGGUGAGUAACACGCGGGUAACCUGCCCAUAAGACUGGGAUAACUCCGGGAACCCGGGGCUAAUACCGGAUAACAUUUUGAACCGCAUGGUUCGAAAUUGAAAGGCGGCUUCUGCUGUCACUUAUGGAUGGACCCGCGUCGCACUAGCUAGUUGGUGAGGUAACGGCUCACCAAGGCAACGAUGCGUAGCCGACCUGAGAGGGUGAUCGGCAACACUGGGACUGCGACACGGCCCAGACUCCUACGGGAGGCAGCAGUAGGGAAUCUUCCGCAAUGGACGAAAGUCUGACGGAGCAACGCCGCUUGAGUGAUGAAGGCUUUCGGGUCGUAAAACUCUGUUGUUAGGGAAGAACAAGUGCUAGUUGAAUAAGCUGGCACCUUGACGGUACCUAACCAGAAAGCCACGGCUAACUACGUGCCAGCCGCCGCAGUAA